GUUCUUAUUGUUUCCACCAGCGGUGGUUUUUCGGACCACAGGGCUUGGUGUUUAAAUCCAAGUAGGAACUAG
rnacentral:tRNA from 1 species